rnacentral:rRNA from 1 species
GACAGAGGUGCCGAGCGUUAGGCGGAAUCACUGGGCUUAAAGCGUGUGUAGGCGGAUCGUUAAGUACCUUGUGAAAUCCCACGGCUUAACCGUGGAACUGCUUGGUAUACUGGCGAUCUUGAGCCACUUAGGGGCUACCGGAACAAAUGGUGGAGCGGUGAAAUGCGUAGAUAUCAUUUGGAACGCCAAUGGUGAAAACAGGUAGCUGGGAGUGUGCUGACGCUGAGAGACGAAAGCUAGGGGAGCGAAUGGG